CUCCCUCUCUCUCUCUCCUCUCCUGCGACGACGAGGCGAGCGAGACGACUCUUAUCUACGCCCGCCUCCCUCCCCCACACACACCUUGCUCGGGGCAUCGGUGACGUCUCGCCGUAGCGGGGGCGGCCUCGCCUCGCGUUGGCUGCUGGUGGUGAGGAUGGAUGGACGGAUUUGCCCCUGCGCCAAGGGAGGACUCGUUCGGUACUCCCGUGGACUUUUCAAGGUCAAGGAACACGCUGAUAUUAAUAGGGGUCUCUACGUAAAUAUUAAACUGGGGGUGUCCUCUCGUGAAAACUGCACAGGUUGCCAAUCGGCCUACUGAGAGUACCUACGGUACCAAAAAAAAAAUAGGUGUAGAAAACACCUCAAUCGGCCUACUGAGAGUACAUGAAAUGUGUGGUAACAAAAAAAUUAUGUGUACAAGUGUAGAAAUCCCAUAGAAAACAUCUCAAGUGGUUUCAACCAGAGGGAGUCUAGCACCCACACGUCCAGAUAUUAGCUUCUGUAUGAUGCCCUUGGGGCUGGCGGUGAUGCAAAAGAUGGGUAAGGAUGUAUUCACAAAAAAAAAGAUGGGUGAGGAUGAUAGCGGCGACAUUAGAGUACAGGAGCACAUGCGUUUUAGGAUAGAGCGUUUGGGCACGGAUUUCAGCGAUGUGGAGCUCGUCGGCAGCGUGCAGAAGGCAACGCUGCAUGGAGCUAGUUGAAAACGCGUUUCGGGAUGGAGCCGGAUGUCCAGGGCCUAUCAUUAUUAUUUCAAUUAAUAAGUAGAUUUAUUGUGAGUGAAAGUUAGAUUUUCCACCAUACCUUGUGGUCAACCGAUCCUAGCCGGUGCCGAGACGCCUAGACACGACCAAUGACAAGCUUAUGGUAGAAAUGAUGACCUGUAAGCAUGUCUGGAGGUAGUUGAAUACAUUGGCAUUUCUCAGAUCAAGCUAGAGACAUUCGUGCCAA